CCCAAUCGUCUUUUGGUAUCGAUCAUCGAUCACCCGGUGAUCGUUUAACUCAAUAGUGCAGUGAUCGGUCAUUGAGAUUUCGCGACGAUUCUUACUCUGUCCACGACGAUCACGCGGUAUCAGUGAUUAUUUAAUUAGGUGAUUGCACGGCCGAGCGAGAAUGCGCGUGAACGGAAAAUCGGAUUAGCAACGGGAAAUCGGCGUGCAUCGAACGUGCGUGCGUGGUGAGAAGAAUCGAGAUAUCUGAUAAUUGAUCGUGACAGUUACGUAUCGCGAUCAUAACGAAGUUAUCUGGGUGUGACAGUGAACGAGUGACGUAUAUCCGAAGGAUCCAAUGAUCUGUCAUACGCCGAAGGAGAUUCGAGCGGUUCACCUGUGAGACGAGCGGAGUGACUGAAAGAUAAGGCAAAAGAGAGGAGAAGAGGAAACAACGGGAGAUGAAGGGCCGACCCUGAAGAGAGAUCGGGCCUGGCAAGGCCAGUUCGCAGAGACAGGGAGGAGUAACGGAAAGGUCGUCAGCCCCUUGAAAAAGGGGUCGAGGCCUGCGAGCAGCUUGAAAGCUCGGUCACAAUAGGUUGCCUGCAAAGCUCUGGUUCCAGGGGGUCGGAGGCGGAGGA